CGUUUUGAUUGGAUGGUCUUUUCAUGUAGAGGGGACGUCUCAAGUCGAAGUCACGAUUUCUGCUCAGUUUGGAACCAUCUGUGACUGGAGCCAUGACGCAGCCAGCGCACAUUACUCACUUUUACAGUCACGACUUGGAAAUCCGUGCAGUUUCCAACCAAAAUUACACCGCCACCAUUGAAUUAUUUAAUAGGAUCCAGUUAAGGGAUCCGCAACUGUCGCUGGGCUUGGAGUGCCAGACAAUAACAUGGCAAACUACUGCUAGUGAUACAGCAACAUUGGGAAAAAUCACACCGCUAUUACAGAUCACAUCAUAGGCGUCGCCAGGCGCAGGGAGAGAUUUGGCUUUUUAAAAUAGCCGACGAGCCCUCUUUGUUAUUAGGCAGCAGCCAGAAAGCACGAUCAGAGGCGUUGCCAGUGGCACAUCCGCGCACGCCCCAACCCAGGACUUGUCUCUCUAGGCUAGAGAGAGCUGGUACAUUACAACCCUCGCACAGAACUCCAGCCCUGGACAUUCUUUUUAGCAAGUGCGCAUGGAGGGAUGGCCUUUGCUGCAGGGCUGAGUCCUGCAGGCAGGAGGACACUAGUACUUGUCCUGAAGAGAGCUCGUGUCACAUGAGGGCCUCAGAUGCGGACACGCAGGCAGCCGUAAAACAUGCCAUCUUCGAGGAGUUUCAAGGAAGAGCAGCGCUGAUGAACGGAAAUGGAUUUGAAACAUCUUCUGAAUAAACCAGGAGGGUGCCUGCCUUUUCCAACAAGAACCAAACCUCUCCCAUAAGAACAGUCCCUGUUAGCAGAAGUGUGUAAUUUCCACCUCAGCAGGACAGCUCUCUAUCUUCUCUACCUGCUGCUAGACACCCAACUCAAGGCUGGGCUAAAGCGAAGUACAAUGCCCUGGGAAUCACUUGUUUCAAAUAAAUAAAACAACAACAAUGGAACUGAUCCA
rnacentral:lncRNA from 1 species